CUUAUAGAUGGACCCGCGCCGUAUUAGCUAGUUGGUAAGGUAACGGCUUACCAAGGCGACGAUACGUAGCCGACCUGAGAGGGUGAUCGGCCACACUGGAACUGAGACACGGUCCAGACUCCUACGGGAGGCAGCAGUAGGGAAUCUUCCGCAAUGGGCGAAAGCCUGACGGAGCAACGCCGCGUGAGUGAUGAAGGGUUUCGGCUCGUAAAACUCUGUUAUUAGGGAAGAACAAAUGUGUAAGUAACUGUGCACGUCUUGACGGUACCUAAUCAGAAAGCCACGGCUAACUACGUGCCAGCAGCCGCGGUAAUACGUAGGUGGCAAGCGUUAUCCGGAAUUAUUGGGCGUAAAGCGCGCGUAGGCGGUUUCUUAAGUCUGAUGUGAAAGCCCACGGCUCAACCGUGGAGGGUCAUUGGAAACUGGGAAACUUGAGUGCAGAAGAGGAAAGUGGAAUUCCAUGUGUAGCGGUGAAAUGCGCAGAGAUAUGGAGGAACACCAGUGGCGAAGGCGACUUUCUGGUCUGUAACUGACGCUGAUGUGCGAAAGCGUGGGGAUCAAACAGGAUUAGAUACCCUGGUAGUCCACGCCGUAAACGAUGAGUGCUAAGUGUUAGGGGGUUUCCGCCCCUUAG
rnacentral:rRNA from 1 species